UCCUGAUGAUACCCCAGCUGGCACCAGUCAUAGGGUUUUUUGUACUCUCUCCUUUGAUGACAAACGCUGCAGGUCUAUAUGACCGUCUCUGAU
rnacentral:snoRNA from 1 species